UGUUGUGGUGAUGUUAUCGUGCAGGCGACGGGGUGCACGGCGCGUGGGCGCAUGCAGCGUGAACGCGCACGGCACCGGGGAUUGGAUCGACGCGAGUAACGCAAACCCACGCACAUUUUUGGCACUUAAUGAUAGCUUCAUCGGUCUGAUGUUUUUUGCAGUGGCGCGGCUCACCGUGAAGUGCUACAAGCAUAAUUUAUCGUCACUAGACGAGCAAUCCGUGUCGCACUAGCCACCCCUUUGGAGCCGCCGUCCGCGGGACCCGGGAGAGCACCGAGGCCGGGGCUGUCCCGAGACCGGAGAGCGGCGCUCCGCGAGCUCCCGAAAC
rnacentral:lncRNA from 1 species